rnacentral:lncRNA from 1 species
CAAUAACACCGAAAUAUGAAAGUUUUUCUCAUAUUAAAUGAAUUAAGUAACGCUUCACUGUAUUAAACAAAUACAACUUAAAAUUUAGUAACAUUCUCAUCUACCAAACAGACACCUAUACCAUCAUGUCACAUUCCUGAUGUGAUUAAGCAUUGUCUAUAUCAAGCAAACGCAAACAAAAACCCAAUCCCCUAAUUUCAUGUUUGUAACGCAACCAAAUAAUAUUUUAUUUAUUUUUCAUCCCAUUUUUAUUACUGUUGUCAUCAAAAUAAUCAACAAAAUAUGUAUAUGGCAGUUAUUUAUUUGUUCAAAAUUAUUAACCUGACAUACAUAAUAAUAUACAUAUCUUUAGUACUAAAAUGACUAAAAAUUUGGAGGCAACGUGCAUCAAACGGCUAAGAGAUACAACAUAUAUGAUAGCCAGCAACUUUAUUUGCAGAUCCCCCGACAAUUAUUAUCUUAAUGACAGAUUUAAUUCGUUAUUAAUUCUAGCUUUUGAGUACCCUUCUCUGUUUUUUUCACAAGAACAAGAAGAACAAGAGGGAGGAGGAGGAGGAGGAGAAGAGUGGAUCAAAUUCAAAAGCAUGGACUGAUCUCAUUGAAUUGAUAUUGAACCAUGUUCUUAAAGACUGAUCUCAUUGAAUUGAUAUUGAACCAUGUUCUUAAAGAAACAGAGAGAUUGAUUGCUGGGUUGAAAAUUCAUUGAAGGUUAAGAGGAACAGAGCAUCACUCGCCUUUUUGGAAGCCUUCUCCACAAGCUUUCUGACAAACAUUGAUGAUGGUGAUGAAAAGGAAGAUCUGGUCUAUGCUCUGCUGUUUUCAGAAUCUGAGAGACCACCAAAAAACCCAACUCCUGAGAUGAAGACAAGGACGACCUGAGAAGGCCAAAGUUCUCUGCUUUGAAAUAACCGACGACAGAGACCAGAGAGAGAAGAAGAGAAGAGGAGAAGAGAGUGAAGUGAAAACUUUGAAAUGGGCCGUUGAUGGCAGUUUUUCAAUUUUUUAUGUUGGAAGAGGAAUGGGACAAGAUUAGCGGUUUCUCAAGGACAAAAUAAAAUGUAGGUUCGGAUCAAAGGACGGUGACACGUGGAGGCUGAUUAGGUGACCCGAACCAUUAAUUGCUAAUUUCCUAAGGAAAAUAUGUUUGACGCCCUUGACCCUUGACUUCGCUUUCACUCACUCACUCACCCACCCACCCACUUUGCAAGGGCAAAGGCCAAAACUACAGAUUGUUUCACAAAAUGACAGAAUUGACCUUCCACCUGGGACCGAGCUUAAUCAGAGAGCACACGUGGACAUGUGACAGGAUAUGAUGUCAAACUGGGACCCACGUACCUGGUCCUGCCAAUCGAUGUUACUGAGCUACGUG